GCCUCGUAACCACCAGACGCGCCCUUCCUCCGGCGACGAACGCCCGCGAGGAUGAAGGUCCAGGCUGUGCUGUUGUGGGCGGCUCUCCUGCUUGCGUUGGCUUCGGGUCUUAGACUGAGGAAGAUACACCGGAUGCAACAGUCCAAUGUCCUGAAAUGCCUAAGAAAGUGCUACGUAAAGACGAGUUCAGGUGGAUGUUCGCUGGAUGUCGCGUGUGCUUUUGGCGAUGGCUUGGGAUUCCCGAUCGGCGGCCGUCCGUGGUGAGGAAAUCCUUUUUCCUUCUGUGAUGUUGAAGGAUAUGCAUCUUCAGCAAGAUGUGCUGGAAGAUAGAUUGAUAGAGAUA
rnacentral:lncRNA from 1 species